rnacentral:rRNA from 1 species
GGAGGGCAAGUCUGGCGCCAGCAGCCGCGGUUAUACCAGCUCCAGUAGCGUAUAUUAAAGUUGUUGCAGUUAAAACGUCCGCAGUCGAAACUAUACUAGCAUACACUCAGUCAUUCGCUGCGUGUUGCUGCGUCCUCCUGAUACAGCCUCAAAAGGCUGUCCGGGAAGUUUACCUUGAGUAAAUAGUGCUGUUCCAAUGCGGCUAGCGCCCAUGCUAAGAAGCAAGGAAUAAUAGAAGAGGCUCGAACUCGCUGUUGGUGUGGGUACGAGAAUGAUGAAUAGGGACAGUUGGGGGCACUCGUACUUAGUUGUCAGAGGUGAAAUUCUUGGAUUAACUAAAGACGAACUUCUGCGAAAGCAUUUGC